ensembl:rRNA 5S_rRNA 5S ribosomal RNA
GUCUAUGGCCACACCACCCUGAAUGCUCCCGAUGUCUUCUGAUCUCGGAAGCUAAGCAGGGUCGGGCCUGGUUAGUACUUGGAUGGGAGCAGUGUGGCUACUACAUAAU